rnacentral:rRNA from 1 species
GUUGUUCGGAAUCAUUGGGCGUAAAGCGCGUGUAGGCUGUUAGUUAAGUCGGAUGUGAAAUCCCUGGGCUCAACCGAGGAAGUGCAUUCGAAACUGGCUAGCUAGAGAGUGGUAGAGGAAGGUGGAAUUCCAAGUGUAGAGGUGAAAUUCGUAGAUAUUUGGAGGAAUACCGGUGGCGAAGGCGGCCUUCUGGGCCACUUCUGACGCUGAGACGCGAAAGCGUGGGGAGCAAACAGG